ACAUUCACUGCCCCCGACGCACAUGUGCGUCCACUGUCAUACAAGUUUGUUCCUAGGCCACGCCCCCUGGCAGUGAAUGCGUUAACAUAUUGGAUUGAUUACUCGUAAGUGGCUUUGAGCUAUGCAUUAUCGUCACUCUUCUAUAAAUUUCUGGGAGAAGCGUUUUCAUCUCACAUGUUAGGACAGGUAGCCGCUAAACAUCGAAGCACACGUAUUUACUUGUGGGUAAUCAGAUUUUACUAAUAUUCGGAAAUUACGACUUCCAAUAAAACAUUACAACUCUUACACGAAUAGCGCUGGGAUUAAAUGAAAUGCUUCAAUGUCGACAAUAUAGGUAUCAGGCAUUUUGCGCCACGGCGAAUCAUUUAGAAUUUUAAGUCAUUAUGGCAACUUUGUUGUUAGUAUUUUUCUUUCGAAUUUUUGUGUUGGCAACUUUGUUGUUAGUAUUUUUCUUUCAAAUUUUUGUGUUCGACGUAAUAUAAAUGUAAUAAUAAUCACAUGUUAAAAUUACAAUUUCAUAGAAAUUUUUUUAAUUGUAGAUGUGUAUAACAUAUACCUUCAAAAUGUAAUAAUUCAAAAAGUACAAUAUGUAACGUAGGUAUGCCUUUAUUGUUUAAUGCUUUCAUUACAUUCAAAACUGUGAUGACUAUUGGUAUUUUUUUAGAGAUUCGUUAUAUAAGCAUAGUAAUGUAGGUACUUACAUUUAUAUAUCCUUCACCAUUUCAUCCUAAAAUAUGUCAUGAUCAUGUAAAAAGUAUCAUUUCGGAUCUCAUGUAUUAUUUAAAUAUGUACGAGUAGAAUGAUUUUCCUGUACAGUUAUUAUUCUUACUUAUUAUCAAUUCCUAAAUUUAAAUUUGUCUGUGUUUAUUAAACAUAUUAUCCCAUUUAGUAUGGUAGAUACCUUAACAGGUUUAUUCGUCGUGUUCGAUGUAUGAUUAAUACGGAAUUAUGUGUUUGCUGUACUGAAAGGGUUAAUUUAAUAUUUAAUUACAUGUCAUUCAAACAAAAAAAAGUAUUUACUAUAAAUUAUUUUACUGAAAUCUAUCUAUACUAGCAUCUCGGAAAUUCUAGUGUAGGCAACAAAAAAAUGCUUAAAAACAGUGUCUGUGACGCAUGUGUGAAAGCACAAACAAAUAACCAAACUAAAAUAGAUGAUACCUUAACAGGUUUAUUCGUCGUGUUCGAUGUAUGAUUAAUACGGAAUUAUGUGUUUGCUGUACUGAAAGGGUUAAUUUAAUAUUUAAUUACAUGUCAUUCAAACAAAAAAAAGUAUUUACUAUAAAUUAUUUUACUGAAAUCUAUCUAUACUAGCAUCUCGGAAAUUCUAGUGUAUGCAACAAAAAAAUGCUUAAAAACAGUGUCUGUGACGCAUGUGUGAAAGCACAAACAAAUAACCAAACUAAAAUAGAUGUGUGAAGUCGAAUAAGACUGUCGCAAGCUUCGCACGUUUUUACUUAAUUAUGUUGUCUAUGAUAAAAUCUAUAAGUAAACGUAAGCUAUCAAGCACAUUGCAGUAGUUUCUUCUUCUAUGCUUGCCAUAGAACAAGUUUAUCAAGAGCAAGAGCAAGAACUCUUAUUGUUAUCAAGCAGAAACGUCUGCGAGCGAAAAUAAGUUUUACUCUUGUUUAUUUAUCUAAUUUUGCUGCUGCUGGACAGCUGUGUUUGGCAUUUGUUUCUGUUGGACAGAAAUGGAAAAGUAUGAUCUUUCAUUAAUUAUCACGUCAAUUGUACAAACAUUUUUUUAAACUUUUUUCUUAUACAUGUAAUGCACUGACAAUUUAGGUUGUGAUAGCAGCAAUACAGUAAUUUUAAUUUAGUCUUAUAUUUGAUUGUGUGCAAUUAUAGUCCAUUAUGGUUUGCGAAUAGGCGUAAGUUAUUGAUUAUUAUUUGUAAACUUAUAACGCCCUUAACGAAUAAUAUUCGUUUGUUUUAAUGUAGCCGAGAAUGUUUUAUAUUUUUUAUUUCAGAAUAGUAUGAAUUUGAUGGGCGUAUCAUAUUGAAGUUUCGCUCCGUAAGACAUAUAUUUUGUUCAUACUUAUUUGCUAUAUUUUCGUUCCAAAAACCUUAUUUUCGUUUAACCGAAUUUAUUUUUGUUCUAAUGACAUGUAAAUAGUUUAGUUAAGUAUUUAUUUAAGCCUACUAAGGCACUUAAAGUAGGUUUUAAUAUGUUUGUAAUGUUUGUAUUUGUUAAAAUAUCUCAUAGAUAUUCAGUUUAUUUUCACCUCGUGUUGUACAUGAUCUAAUUCGAUACACAUAAUGAUGUAGGUAUAUUAUUAUGCAACAGUGCAACACUUAUAAUAUUAAUAUGUGAAUUUUGUAGUCAAUAUGAAAUUUGUCAAACAGCAUGGUUUCAAUAUUCAUAGAGUCCUGUGUGAAAAGAGAAGAGUCGUGAAAUGUAUGG